rnacentral:lncRNA from 1 species
UCCUUAUCGACUACUGUACACAAUAUUGACAAGCAACGAUACACAUAGUAAGAAAGCUCAAGUGAGUCAAACUUCAGAAAGGUCAACCGAUGCUCGAGCCCAGGCUAUAAUACAACAUUUGUUUUUUUAUGACAGGUCAUUUUUGUUUACAAGUCACCGGCAAACACCACUCAAACGGCAAUAUCCGGAUGUAGGGUAUAUAAAACAAUAAAAUAUGCACGAAGGAACUCCUCUCACGAAGGAACUCCUCUCACAUCCUUAAAGCAGCACAGCAGAAUUUACGACCUUUUUAACAAGUUUCCCCUCACAACAAGCUCAGAGUCUCUCAUUUCGAUUUUAAACGUCCUGGAAAAAAACACAUAUACUCAUUCUGGCUACUCAAGACUCAAACCUUACGAAGAAGCAAGCAUAUUGACCAUAUACAAACGGCUAAAAUAUCAUCAAUACUAUCAAGCUCUAUACUGUCUAAGGACCCAUCGCCAUGACCGUCGAGUAGCCUAUGCUGUAAUCUGUUUGUGGCUGAAGCAACUCCACUCCAGGUUACCAAGCACUUUAACGCCUUAGCUUUUUAAAAAUUAAUUCGUUAUGAGAUUAUUGACAAGAACAUUUCAAUAAUUUCAUAUCUAAUAACAAUACUUUCAAAUCAGGAUGUCAAAGUGUAUACCACAACAGAACUUUAUUUCAUAGAUGCAAAAUGACAAUAAAAAACGACAGGCUAUAUGUCUACGUAACUUCCCUCAACAGUAGAGUCUACAUGAAUUCCCUCAGAGGCAGAGGUCAAGGUUUGUAUAGUUACAUCCACAAAUACACAACUAAAGCAUUUUCACAAGCACACAUAAACACAUGUAUCUGUGACGCCUAUAUCACAUGUCCCCACACAUAGCAGAUAGGCCUAACUAAAAUACCCGAAAUAUAUGAAGUUCCAGAGAAUCAGCACCAUAUUAAUACCACUGUUGAGAGUCAAAUAAAUUACAGUCAUUACACACGAUGCCUCCCCUCUUCUUCCCCCCUUGUCCCUAGGCCUAACCACCAGCCAAAUC